GAAAAUAACAAAGCGCUUGAAGAGAAGAUUGAUUUAGGAUUCAAUCAAAUCAAAGAAUUUGUGGUGAACUCAAUCAAACAAUUAUUGGAGGAUAUUUCUUUGCUGUUUGCUAAGAGUGGUGGUAGCAGCUCUGUUAUUCGAGAAGUUAAGGAACCAUCUAAAAAGCAUGCUGGCGAGACAUUUUCAGGUGGAUUAGAUUUUAAUGGAGGUUCGUUUAUAUUUUCAGUAAAUUUCUGUUAUAUUCAUAAUAUAAUUUUAAUAUAUAGUUUAGUAUUUUCUUCCACUUAAUCAAUAAAUGACACGAAUUUGAUAUUUCAUUUUUCAGUUAACUUUGAUAGGUUUUUUUAAUAAUAUGUUAAUUACAUAUACAACAUUUUCUCCCCGUGUUAAUGCAUCUGUAAAUGAAUCGAGAGGGAACGAUGCUCAUGUUAUGGGAUCAAAUCAAAAAUAAGAAUCUCAAGUGCUUAAAGCUACAGUUAGAUUUGCUGAUGUUGAAAAUUUUGAUAGAGUAUCAAGUAAAAUAGGUAAUGAAGGAUUUUAUACAAAUAUAUUACAUAUUUCAUAUAUUUUAAUUCAAUUCUGUUUUUUUAAAUGUUCUUGUUAUGUAAAGAUGAAGAUGUUGCAGAAAUUGCUAUUGAAAAAGUUCUGUCAGAGGUUGUUGCUGAUAUAAAUGUCCAAGAGGCUGCUGAUGUGAAUACAGUUGGGGCGAAACCUGAUGAUGCAACAGAGGAUUGUCAAAAAUCUUUGCAUACUUUUGAUGACUUUAUUUUACUUGAUAAAGAUCUUUCUCAGAUCAAUAGGACUGAAGAAUCUUAUCUAAAAAAAAGAGCCCAAGUUGAUCAAACAAAAAGAAAGUGUCACCGAAGAAACGUGGCAGAAAGAAAAAUCCAGGAAAGUUAAUAACAUCUCCCUUCACACAACAUUUUGAAUCUGGAGGAACUUUAUGUGUUACACGUCAGGUUUUUGAGACAAAACAUCUUUUUUUAUAUGCAAGCGGAGGAGAUGAUGAAUCUGAUUUGAUCGAUUCAUUCACUAAGUGGCUUUAUACGGGUACAAAAAAGAGGGGAAAGAAACCUUAUACAGAUGCUCUUAAUGUUAUCAAUCCAGCAUUUGAAUUGGGUGUCUGUACGGUAGAUGAAAGACUCUGGUUUUUCAAAUUGGCACAUUCCGGACAACAAUGGUGUGAUGAGGGAUUGUGGAGUUUUCGUUGCUGCAUUUGCGGAGUUUGUAAGUAAUGGCCAACAUAUUCAAAAUCAACAAGUAAAGGCAGACAUUGUCCGAAAGAAAUUUGGAGCUAUAUUAUGGGAAUAUGCAAGAAGGAAGCAAGCGAGUGACCUUCAAAGUGAAGACGAAAGACCAGUUAGAUAAAGGAAUAUAGUUAUAUUAGUUAGUAUGACUAUGAAAACUAUAUAAUGUAAAACAAUUUGUAGUUACUAUGGCUAUGAAAAAUUGUAUUGGUCUAUUUUGUAAGUCUUGAUAUUAUAUACCUAGCUGUGUUGUUUAUAUGUAAGUCUUCUAUUUGAAGUUGUUCCUUCUUUGUGUCCUUAUUGAUCCUUUCUGUUUGUACUUCCUCUAAGGAAUUUUGUCUUUGCAGUUGGAAUGCUACAUAUGUUAGUUUAUUUGGGAGCAACAAGCUGUUGCCCAUGUCUAUCCAGCUUGCUGGAAGUAUGCAUGAUUGAGUUUAAAGAAGUCAAUGCUCCUCAUACUUCUUUUUGAAUGACACUAUGAAUGCUCAUGUAAAACUGGCAGGAAAUGGUAGUAA